GUGAGGAAUAUUGGACAAUGGGCGCAAGCCUGAUCCAGCCAUGCCGCGUGCAGGAAGACGCAUCUAUGGUGUGUAAACUGCUUUUGUACGGGAAGAAACACUCCCUCGUGAGGGAGCUUGACGGUACCGUAAGAAUAAGGAUCGGCUAACUCCGUGCCAGCAGCCGCGGUAAUACGGAGGAUCCAAGCGUUAUCCGGAAUCAUUGGGUUUAAAGGGUCCGUAGGCGGUUUAAUAAGUCAGUGGUGAAAGACCAUCGCUCAACGAUGGAACGGCCAUUGAUACUGUUAGACUUGAAUUACAAGGAAGUAACUAGAAUAUGUAGUGUAGCGGUGAAAUGCUUAGAUAUUACAUGGAAUACCAAUUGCGAAGGCAGGUUACUACUUGUGGAUUGACGCUGAUGGACGAAAGCGUGGGGAGCGAACAGGAUUAGAAACCCUUGUAGUCC
rnacentral:rRNA from 1 species